rnacentral:rRNA from 1 species
CCUACGGGAGGCAGCAGUAGGGAAUCUUCCACAAUGGGCGCAAGCCUGAUGGAGCAACACCGCGUGAGUGAAGAAGGGUUUCGGCUCGUAAAGCUCUGUUGUUGGAGAAGAACGUGCGUGAGAGUAACUGUUCACGCAGUGACGGUAUCCAACCAGAAAGUCACGGCUAACUCCGUGCCAGCAGCCGCGGUAAUACGUAGGUGGCAAGCGUUAUCCGGAUUUAUUGGGCGUAAAGCGAGCGCAGGCGGUUGCUCAGGUCUGAUGUGAAAGCCUUCGGCUUAACCGAAGAAGUGCAUCGGAAACCGGGCAACUUGAGUGCAGAAGAGGACAGUGGAACUCCAGGUGUAGCGGUGGAAUGCGUAGAGAUAUGGAAGAACACCAGUGGCGAAGGCGGCUGUCUGGUCUGCAACUGACGCUGAGGCUCGAAAGCAUGGGUAGCGAACAGGAUUAGAUACCCUGGUAGUC